UCUCUAUGCACAUUUUUCUGUAUCUAUCUGUGCACGUUUUCCUGUAUGUCUUUUCUUGUUUGUGCGACUUUAAUCUUAUCUGGUGAUCGCUGUUUUGCUCAUCAGGCUGAGUUAUGUUGGUCCUGUGAGAUUUAUCACUUUAAAAUAAAGAUGUUUGGCAUUUAAAGUUUUGGUGUUGGAAAUCCUUGGAUAAUGACAUUCUGUUUAGAGUUCUCGGUCGUUAUAUGCUCACGAUAAUAGGUUUCUUAGGUUGAACCAAUGUUUUAAAAGGCUCGCCUCAGGGCGCGCCUAGGCGUCCUCUAAGGCUAGACGUGAAGGUUGCCGCCUCUGUUUUAAGGGAGUGGGCGGAAGGCGUCGCCGGAGCCGCCUAGGUGCGCCUCAGGGGCUUUUUUUUUUUUAUACUCUUAAACCCAAAUUUUGGAUAGGUUUUAACUGCUUCAGACCUCUUCCUUGUACUAUUGUCUCUCUACUUUUUUUUUUCUGAUUUUUAUUUUUUUUAUAUAAUGGAUGUGUGUGCUAUCUGCGUGCAUUGUUAUAUGUGUGCUCAUUGUACUUUUCAUCCUCUAUUAUAUAUAUAUAUAAUAUAAUAUAUGUAUAUAUAUGUGUGUGUGUAUAUAUUUAUAAUAUAUGUGUACGCUCAGUGUAUAUAUUAAAAUUUAGGUCCCGUGACGCCUAGGCCGGGCUAUCCCUCAGACGCCUUGCCCACGCCUCACGCUUUUAAUACAUUGGGUUGAACUAGGGAGGACCUUGUUAUUUGGGUCUGAAGCUGCAAUUUUCUGAUCCAAAGUUGAAUGGCACUUUUAUUUUUUGUUGGGCCGCUGGAGGGAAUGUCAUCUGUGUAGCGUUAGCGCAAAGCAGUCUCGUAUAUUUCUAUUCCUUCGUGGGUGGUUUGACUAUACAUUAUUCUGUCGUUUUGUUUGUCUUAGGACGAAAAUCGUCAAAUACUGUGAGGCAAAUUAUCUUAGAUACUUAUACUUGGAUUAAAACACUCCUGGACUGAAUCAAGUGUCGACGUAGUGGAUGACAACCGUACAUAGUUUAUUACUCAUCAUUCGAUGAACCAGAGAACAUGGCUUGGGAUUGAUUUGAUAAAAGCUUGAUGGGGUGGUAGAAAGUCAUAGGAUUUGGCAUUGCUUUAUCCUUUUUUCUCUGUUUGCAUCAUAUAUUUCUAUUUUUUUUUGUGUUUUCGUUUCUUGGUAUUGACUGUUUGAUUAACGGGCACGUAUGAUCUUCACUUCAGUUGC
rnacentral:lncRNA from 1 species